AUACGGAGGAUCCGAGCGUUAUCCGGAUUUAUUGGGUUUAAAGGGUGCGCAGGCGGCCAUUUAAGUCAGCGGUUAAAUCGUGGGGCUCAACCCCAUUCUGCCGUUGAUACUGGGUGGCUUGAUUGCGGUCGAGGUUGGCGGAAUUCGUUGUGUAGCGGUGAAAUGCAUAGAUAUGACGAAGAACACCGAUUGCGUAGGCAGCUGACCAGACCGCAAAUGACGCUCAUGCACGAAAGUGCGGGGAUCGAACAGGAUUAGAUACCCUGGUAGUCCGCACAGUAAACGAUGAAUACUUGUUUUCGGCGAUAUAAUGUCGGAGGCAAAGCGAAAGCGAUAAGUAUUCCACCUGGGGAGUACGCCGGCAACAGUGAAACUCAAAGGAAUUGACGGGG
rnacentral:rRNA from 1 species